UACGGAGGGUGCAAGCGUUAUUCGGAAUUAUUGGGCGUAAAGAGCGCGUAGGCGGUUUGGCAAGUCUGGUGUGAAAGCCCCGGACUUAAUUCGGGAAGUGCAUUGGAUACUGCCAAACUUGAGUACGGGAGAGGGGAGUGGAAUUCCUGGUGUAGAGGUGAAAUUCGUAGAUAUCAGGAGGAACAACAGAGGCGAAGGCGACUCCCUGGACCGUUACUGACGCUGAAGCGCGAAAGCGUGGGGAGCAAACAGG
rnacentral:rRNA from 1 species